rnacentral:rRNA from 1 species
GAUGAACGCUAGCGGGAGGCCUAACACAUGCAAGCCGAGCGGUAUUGUUUCUUCGGAAAUGAGAGAGCGGCGUACGGUGCGGAACACGUGUGCAACCUGCCUUUAUCUGGGGAUAGCCUUUCGAAAGGAAGAUUAACACUCCAUAAUAUAUUGAUUGGCAUCAAUUAAUAUUGAAAGCUCCGGCGGAUAGAGAUGGGCACGCGCAAGAUUAGCUAGUUGGUGAGGUAACGGCUCACCAAGGCGAUGAUCUUUAGGGGGCCUGAGAGGGUGAUCCCCACACUGGUACUGAGACACGGACCAGACUCCUACGGGAGCAGCAGUGAGGAAUAUUGGUCAAUGGGUGCAAGCCUGAACCAGCCAUCCCGCGUGAAGGACGACUGCCCUAUGGGUUGUAAACUUCUUUUGUAUAGGGAUAAACCUACCCUCGUGAGGGUAGCUGAAGGUACUAUACGAAUAAGCACCGGCUAACUCCGUGCCAGCAGCCGCGGUAAU